AACAGGAUUAGAUACCCGGGUAGUCCACGCCGUAAACGAUGGAUACUAGCUGUUGGAGGUAUCGACCCCUUCAGUAGCGAAGCUAACGCGUUAAGUAUCCCGCCUGUGGAGUACGGUCGCAAGACUAAAACAUAAAGGAAUUGACGGGGACCCGCACAAGCGGUGGAUCGUGUUCUUUAAUUCGAUGAUAAACGAAGAACCUUACCAGGGCUUGACAUCCAGGGAAGCACUGCGAAAGCAGAGUGUGCCUUUUGGAACCCUGUGACAGAUGAUGCAUGGCCGUCGUCAGCUCGUGUCGUGAGAUGUUUGGUUAAGUCCAUCAACGAGCGCAACCCUUGUGAAUAGUUGUAUUUUUCUAUUCAGACUGCCCCGGUAACGGGGAGGAAGGAGGGGAUGAGGUCAGGUCUGUAUUUCUCUUACGUCCUGGGCUAGAAACACGAUACAAUGGCUAGUACAAUGCGCAGCAAAGCCGCGAGGUGGAGCAAAUCGCAUCAAAGCUAGUCUCAGUUCGGAUAAGAGGCUGAAACUCGCCUCUUUGAAGUCGGAAUCGCUAGUAAUCGCAGGUCAGCAAACUGCGGUGAAUACGUUCCCGGGUCUUGUACACACCGCCCGUCAAACCAUGAAAGUCACCAACACCCGAAGUCCGAUUUUUCGGCCUAAGGUGGGGGGGAUGAUUGGGGUUAAGUCGUAACAAGGUAACC
rnacentral:rRNA from 1 species